UACGUAGGGUGCGAGCGUUAAUCGGAAUUACUGGGCGUAAAGCGUGCGCAGGCGGGCUUUUAAGCCAGACGUGAAAUCCCCGGGCUUAACCUGGGAAUGGCGUUUGGGACUGGGAGUCUGGAGUGCGGCAGAGGAGACUGGAAUUCCUGGUGUAGCAGUGAAAUGCGUAGAUAUCAGGAGGAACACCGAUGGCGAAGGCAGGUCUCUGGGCUGACACUGACGCUCAUGCACGAAAGCGUGGGGAGCGAACAGGAUUA
rnacentral:rRNA from 1 species